rnacentral:rRNA from 1 species
AAUAUUGGUCAAUGGGCGGGAGCCGGAACCAGCCAUGCCGCUUGCGGGCAGAAGGCCCUAUGGGUCGUAAACCGCUUUUACACGGGAACAACCGCAGCUACGUGUAGCUGCCUGAGGGUACCGUGGGAAUAUGGAUCGGCUAACCCCGUGCCAGCAGCCGCGGUAAUACGGAGGAUCCGCGCGUUCACCGGAAUUAUUGGGUUUAAAGGGUGCGUAUGCGGCACGUUAAGCCAGGGGUGACAUACAGCGGCUCAACCGUUGCAGUGCCCUUGAUACUGAAGUGCUUGAAUGUGGCCGAAGGAGGCGGAACGGGACAAGUAGCGGUGAAAUGCAUAGAUAUGUCCCAGAACCCCGAUUGCGAAGGCAGCUUCCUAGACCGUUAUUGACGCUGAUGCACGAAAGCGUGGGGAUCGAACAG